GACGUAGGGGGCCAGCGUUGUUCGGAAUUACUGGGUGUAAAGGGUUCGUAGGCGGUGCGGCAAGUUGGGAGUGAAAUCUCUGGGCUCAACCCAGAGGCUGCUUCCAAAACUGCUGUGCUUGAGUGUGGGAGAGGCGCGUGGAAUUGCAGGUGUAGCGGUGAAAUGCGUAGAUAUCUGCAGGAACACCCGUGGCGAAAGCGGCGCGCUGGACCACAACUGACGCUGAGGAACGAAAGCUAGGGGAGCAAACAGG
rnacentral:rRNA from 1 species